rnacentral:rRNA from 1 species
AUACGGAGGAUGCAAGCGUUAUCCGGAUUUAUUGGGUUUAAAGGGUGCGUAGGCGGUUUGCUAAGCGGGAGGUGAAAUGCCGGCGCUCAACGUCGGAAGUGCCUCCCGAACUGGUGGACUUGAAUGACUCUGCCGUGGGAGGAAUGUGAAGUGUAGCGGUGAAAUGCUUAGAGAUUACACAGAACACCGAUUGCGAAGGCAUCUCACGAAGGGUUGAUUGACGCUGAGGCACGAAAGCGUGGGGAUCAAACAGGAUUAGAUACCCUGGUAGUCCACGCAGUAAACGAUGAUGGCUAACCGCUGGGCUUAUCAGUUCAGUGGCCAAGCGAAAGCGAUAAGCCAUCCACCUGGGGAGUACGACCGCAAGGUUGAAACUCAAAGGAAUUGACGGGG